rnacentral:misc_RNA from 1 species
UGGUUCUGGCAUCGAUGAAGAACGCAGCGAAAUGCGAUAAGUAAUGUGAAUUGCAGAAUUCAGUGAAUCAUCGAAUCUUUGAACGCACAUUGCGCCCCUUGGUAUUCCGAGGGGCAUGCCUGUUCGAGCGUCAUUACACCACUCAAGCCUCGCUUGGUAUUGGGCGCCGCGGUCCGCCGCGCGCCUCAAUGUUUCCGGCUGAGCUCUCCGUCUCCAAGCGUUGUGGUUAAAACUAUCCGCUUGCGAGAUUGGGGGGCGUCUGGCCGUUAAACCAUUACUCAAAGGUUGACCUCGGAUCAGGUAGGGAUACCCGCUGA